rnacentral:rRNA from 1 species
CCUACGGGUGGCAGCAGUGAGGAAUAUUGGUCAAUGGCCGUAAGGCUGAACCAGCCAAGUCGCGUGAAGGAAGAAGGAUCUAUGGUUUGUAAACUUCUUUUAUAGGGGAAUAAAGGUAUCCACGUGUGGAUAUUUGCAUGUACCCUAUGAAUAAGCAUCGGCUAACUCCGUGCCAGCAGCCGCGGUAAUACGGAGGAUGCGAGCGUUAUCCGGAUUUAUUGGGUUUAAAGGGUGCGUAGGUUGUUUUUUAAGUCAGCGGUGAAAGUUUGUGGCUCAACCAUAAAAUUGCCGUUGAAACUGGAAGACUUGAGUGUGUUUGAGGUAGGCGGAAUGCGUGGUGUAGCGGUGAAAUGCAUAGAUAUCACGCAGAACUCCGAUUGCGAAGGCAGCUUGCUGCAGCGGAACUGACGCUGAUGCUCGAAAGCGCGGGUAUCGAACAGGAUUAGAUACCCUGGUAGUC